CCCUUAGAUGUUCUGGGCCGUACGCGCGCUACACUGUUUGAUUCAGCGAGUCUUAACCUUGACCGAAAGGUUUGGGUAAUCUUCUAAAGUCAAACGUGAUGGGGAUCGAUCAUUGCAAUUAUUGAUCGUGAACGAGGAAUUCCUAGUAAAUGCAAGUCAUCAGCUUGCGUUGAUUACGUCCCUGCCCUUUGUACACACCGCCCGUCGCUACUACCGAUUGAAUGGUUUAGUGAGAUCUCCGGAUUGGCUCUGUAGGUCCCGCAAGGGAUUUAUUAGUAGCCAAGAAGCUGCUCAAACUUGAUCAUUUAGAGGAAGUAAAAGUCGUAACA
rnacentral:rRNA from 1 species